rnacentral:lncRNA from 1 species
AGUUUGGUAUUUUCAUGCACAGAAAUUUUGAAGAUAUGAAUACUUGUUAAAUGUUUGGAAUAAUUCAUUGCAUUGUAUAUCGAGUACUAUUAAUUCAUUUUAGACGCUGUAUUUCUAAAGAAAAAUGUACUCUAUAGCUGACAAAGAAGUGUGAACAUUUUGCAUUUAUACUUCCACGGCCCACCAUGCUUGUGUAAAUGAAACAACUGAUUAAAUAGGAACC